rnacentral:tRNA from 1 species
AGCUUUAUAUUUACAGUUGUAAUAUUAGAUUGCAAAUCUAAAGGGGUAUAAUUAUACUAAGGCUU